UUGAAUCCUGGUGAUGAGUACAAAGAAUGUUGUCACUGUUACCAUGGAAAUGAGAGAGACAGAUAUGGAAAAAUUAAUGUUAGUUUAUGUAAGCUCUUUAAGCUCACUGACAAAUCAUGUUUAUUUAAGCCACUUAGACCUUCCACAUAGUAAUCCCCAAAUAUGAACCUGUUUAUGUUUCUCAUAAAUGUCAAAUAUAAACAAAUAUAACCGAUUCUACCUAACUUUUAUACAUUAUACAGAACAUUUUCUACUCUCUCUCUCUCUCUCUCUCUUUGAAUGAGUGUGUUUGUUUGUAUGUCUCAAGUAUUUCGUUUAUUAUUUAAUAGUCAAACUGUUGAAAAGCUGAAAGCUACCCGUGUUACCUCUGUGUGUGCAUUUCACACAUUCGCUACAUUUAAAUCGAACUAGAGUGCACACACAAAAAGUUGAACUAUGAGUUAAAUCGUAUUUGGUAAGAAAAGUAAUCUGAUGGAAUUACUGAAUACAGAGAGUAGCCUUGGUAGACUUUUCAGCUUUUCCGCAAUACAGUGUACACUCAUUCUCCUGGCUCUCUUUCAGAGCACAGUUUCCAAGCAACUGGGCACAAAAAGCAUGAUUGGAGAGAUGCCACAGGCAGCAGGAGCUGAUUAUCAGCGGCUCUUAUCUCAUAUUGAACUGAUACCCAAUUUCUAAGCAAUCUCUGCUCAGAAACUACACAGAGUGAGGACAAAUGGGAACAUUUAACACCAUGAAGUGGAGAAAGCAUGCACUCCAAAAGGGGCGGUAAAUUCGCUUUAAUCUGUGAUAUGGUGACUUGGCAGGUGGUCUUCUCUAGAAAGGACUAAAGUCAGAGUAGAGAGGGAAAACAAACAGGGCUAUCCCUGGAGGCAGAAGGUCAGGCAUGAGGACUUCUGUGAAGGUGCCAAACUUUUUAUCUGCCAAUCAAUCAUUCGUUUCGGAGAAGAGAUUGUGGUGGAUCUGGAGCUCAUCCCAGGAACACUGAGCUUGAGGCAGUCACUGAGCAUAAGGCCUACGUGUCUUUCUUGCAGGAAGACUGUCCCGAUAACAGCAGCAUAUUUGGUUUUGGUCUGCUGAAUAAUGCAAUGCUGAAAACAUUAUAAGGACAUUCUGACUGAGCUCUUAAUGGGUCAUCAUGCUCCUGAAGUUGGUAUGAGAGCACUUAAACCUGCUUGUUGAGAGCUGCUGGAUCGGGAGCCUCAAUCCCAUCAACGAGGCACAUAGCUUCCAUUAUCAGCCCAAGGUUAUGGCAGAAACAUUACAGAAGCCCGCAUUAAAAAGUUUUUCAUGUUUUGAGGUAAAGCAGGAGAAAAAAAAAUCACUCAGCUACCCAAUUGGCCACUUAUCAUGUUGUACUAGAUCUUUGUCUUUUUUUACUCUGUUUGAAGUACUUCCAUACUCAGAAAUUUUCAAAUAGUUAACUCCUGUUAGAGUCUAUUUUGCAAAAUAGGCUAUGCAAAGCAAAACCUACACUUGUAACUGCAAACUUUGCAGAACAUUUGUAGUUAACUAGCCAGCUAGCUAUUUAGCUAAGGUUACUGAUGAAUAAAUCUCUUACAUUGUAUUGUAUUGUACUGA